UGCAGUCGAACGAUGAACCUCACUUGUUGGGGGGAUUAGUGGCGAACGGGUGAGUAACACGUGAGUAACCUGCCCUUGACUCUGGGAUAAGCCUGGGAAACUGGGUCUAAUACCGGAUAUGACCUUCCAUCGCAUGGUGGUUGGUGGAAAGCUUUUGUGGUUUUGGAUGGACUCGCGGCCUAUCAGCUUGUUGGUGGGGUAAUGGCCUACCAAGGCGACGACGGGUAGCCGGCCUGAGAGGGUGACCGGCCACACUGGGACUGAGACACGGCCCAGACUCCUACGGGAGGCAGCAGUGGGGAAUAUUGCACAAUGGGCGGAAGCCUGAUGCAGCGACGCCGCGUGAGGGAUGACGGCCUUCGGGUUGUAAACCUCUUUCAGUAGGGAAGAAGCCGCAAGGUGACGGUACCUGCAGAAGAAGCGCCGGCUAACUACGUGCCAGCAGCCGCGGUAAUACGUAGGGCGCAAGCGUUAUCCGGAAUUAUUGGGCGUAAAGAGCUCGUAGGCGGUUUGUCGCGUCUGCCGUGAAAGUCCGGNNGCUCACUCCGGAUCUGCGGUGGGUACGGGCAGACUAGAGUGAUGUAGGGGAGACUGGAAUUCCUGGUGUAGCGGUGAAAUGCGCAGAUAUCAGGAGGAACACCGAUGGC
rnacentral:rRNA from 1 species